rnacentral:rRNA from 1 species
GACGAACGCUGGCGGCGUGCCUAAUACAUGCAAGUCGAACGAACCGCGACUGAGUGCUUGCACUUGGUCAAGGUGAGUGGCGAACGGGUGAGUAACACGUGGGUAACCUACCUCAUAGUGGGGGAUAACAGUCGGAAACGACUGCUAAUACCGCAUAGGACAUAGGAUCACAUGAUCCAGUGAGGAAAGGUGGCGCAAGCUAUCGCUAAGAGAUGGACCCGCGGUGCAUUAGCUAGUUGGUAGGGUAAAGGCCUACCAAGGCGAUGAUGCAUAGCCGACCUGAGAGGGUGAUCGGCCACAUUGGGACUGAGACACGGCCCAAACUCCUACGGGAGGCAGCAGUAGGGAAUCUUCCGCAGUGGACGCAAGUCUGACGGAGCAACGCCGCGUGAGUGAAGAAGGUCUUCGGAUCGUAAAGCGCUGUUGUUAGAGAAGAACAGCGCAUAGAGUAACUGCUAUGCGUGUGACGGUAUCUAACCAGAAAGCCACGGCUAACUACGU